UACGAAGGGGGCUAGCGUUGCUCGGAAUCACUGGGCGUAAAGGGUGCGUAGGGUCGGGUCUUUUAAGUCAGGGGUGAAAUCCUGGAGCUCAACUCCAGAACUGCCUUUGAUACUGAGGAUCUUGAGUUCGGGAGAGGUGAGUGGAACUGCGAGUGUAGAGGUGAAAUUCGUAGAUAUUCGCAAGAACACCAGUGGCGAAGGCGGCUCUCUGGGACGGUACUGACGCUGAGACGCGAAAGCGUGGGGAGCAAACAGGG
rnacentral:rRNA from 1 species